CGGACGAUAAAAAGCAUACCAGGAUGAUUCUCAAUGGAUUUUACACGCUUCUCGUAUAGUUCAUCAAUAUCAAACUCAGGGCUUGGACUGGCCUGCUUUAUUUCCGUGACCUAAAAGGACAAACGACUCGUCACGCUUAAAGAGUCGAUGAUGGAAUAAGUGUGUGAACUGCUGAUUCGAAAAUCAAAAUGCUUUCAUAUCCUUUAUGGGCACUUGCUUUCCUCAAAACCCCCAACAGUCCGCAACCCCACCCUCACUU